UUAUUCACAGAUAUUUCAUCCAAAAAGAUUGAUUGACUUAAAACAGUGCUUAUCUUCAUCUGCUGACUCUUCCCAUUGACUCAAAUUAAAAUAAUUUUAGGUUUCUGUCAUUUCAAAUUGGACAUCAAAUCUUACAGCCCACAGCCAAAUGUUGUAUAGCAAGAAAUUCUGUACCUAUGAUAAUUUUAAGCUGUGACCUGUAAAUUUUGCUGUAUUGGAAAAACAAAUAUGCAGAUAGGAAAGCUGGAAGAAAUUCUAGUGUCCUUGGUAAUAAGUAGGUGGUGUGUGUGUAUAAGCAUGCAUGCACAGUAUUAUGCCAAAGACCAAUGAACCAGAAAGGUGUAAGGAUUUUGCAUUGAAGAUGCUUUCCUUUCAUACAAGAUGUAAAACCAAGGUUUUGACCCUUGUUAUGAAAAAUUCCACAGCACAUUUUGUAAGUCUAGCCUCUAAAGCAGGUUUGGAAGCUGAUCACCGUGUGCUUGUACAAAGAUUCAAGGAGAUGCAUAUUAACUUCUGAAGAGCCACAUGUGGCCCUGGACCCGCAGGUAUCUCAAAAAAGCCCUUGACUCAUACAUUUUCUGGACCACCAUGGCUACAACACUGUAAUCCUUCUAAGGCAAAUUUCAACUUAGCUAACUAUAUUCUACGCAUCCACAGUUUCUGUUUUUUCUCUUAAAUUGUAACACAGUGUUACUGGUAUUGUUGUAUUGUUAAAUGGGUGCUGCAUAUUACUGAUUUGAUUGUGGUGAGUAAAGCAAUACGCAUACACAAGUUGUGCCUCACGAGCACUUUACAGUGCAAUUUACAAGUGACCUAUAAGCAGUAUAAUUGUACAUGAGAAGCACUACUUCUGCUUUGUGUUUCCAUGUGACUUAAUAUCAGACAUAAGGAAAUGAGGUAAUAAAAAUAAAGUAAAAAAUGUAAAUUCUAUCAUGCAUCCAUUAAACACUGAAAAUCACUGUAGAGCAAAUUACAUACUGGUUAGUCUUAGAGGUUUCUUGUCAGUUCUACACUUCCCACCCUAUUCUGCUUCUCCAUAUGGGGAAGGGUCGCAGGUAGUAGGGCAGGGAGGAUAAGACUAGCACUGUCAAAGCCCUGACCAGUCCCAUCCUUAAGUUUGUCCAGGCCUAAAGAGCUAUUGAUGGUUCCGUGAUGUAGUCACAAGGAUUUGUGUGUUCCAGCAAGAAGGAAAUAAAGUCCUUGUCUUGAGUAUGGCAAGUUUAAGAUGGACAUCUGGUUUGUCAACUAAGUUUAAUGAUGAAGGAAUUUUAGAGUGUUAAUUUUUCAGACUGGCAGUAAGACAAACAUUUCUCAAGCUAACCCCAAUUAUGUAGGAGGUUAAUUAAGCCACAGAUUUCUGUCUUUCCUGACAAAGAACCAAUGAUUCAAUAUUAAUAAUGUAAGCUAUGUACAUGAAAAUAUUAUACAUGUGCCAGAAAUAAUAUAUUACAUGUGUUAGAAAAACAAAUAUGACAUCUCAAAUGACUCUUCACCCCAUAAUGUGUUCUCCAUUUUGGGUUUCACAGGUUGAAAGAAGCAAUGACAAAAUGAACACUGAUAAAAGAAAUAGCUUAUAAAUAAGAAAGGAAAAACUAAUCAAAA